AAAGAAGAUACUGACAAUGGCAGUGACAUGCAGAAGAUAUUAAUAUGCCAGAAAAAGCUAUGGUACUCAUCCAACCAAGGUUCAAGACGACAAAUUAUGGAACUUAAGUUGUGUAACUGGUAAGAUGGUGGUGGUUAGAGUAGUAGUAUAGUGAAGUAGAAGCAAAGGGAAGCGAAUUCAGAGAUGCUCUGGGCAUAUAUUGACCCAAAUUCUAUAAUAUAAUGAGCCAAGAAUUAGUCAAGUUCAAAUUUGUCAAAAGAACAAGGGGUAACCCACUAAUCUGAUUUUGUUA
rnacentral:lncRNA from 1 species